UACGGGGGGGGUAAGCGUUGUUCGGAAUUACUGGGCGUAAAGGGCUCGUAGGCGGCCAACUAAGUCAGACGUGAAAUCCCUCAGCUUAACUGGGGAACUGCGUCUGAUACUGGAUGGCUUGGAUUCGGGAGAGGAAUGCGGAAUUCCAGGUGUAGCGGUGAAAUGCGUAGAUAUCUGGAGGAACACCGGUGGCGAAGGCGGCAUUCUGGACCGACAUUGACGCCGAGGAGCGAAAGCCAGGGGAGCAAACGGG
rnacentral:rRNA from 1 species